rnacentral:rRNA from 1 species
CCCUCCAGAUGGGGACAACACUGCGAAAGUGGAUGGCUAAUACCGAAUGCGUAACCGAGAUUGCAUAAUCUUGGUUAGAAAGGUGGCCUCUAUUUAUAAGCUACCGCUGGAAGAUGGGUCUGCGUCUGAUUAGCUAGUGGUGAGGUAACGGCUCACCAAGGCGACGAUCAGUAGCCGGUCUGAGAGGAUGAACGGCCACACUGGGACUGAGACACGGCCCAGACUCCUACGGGAGGCAGCAGUGGGGAAUCUUCCGCAAUGGACGAAAGUCUGACGGAGCAACGCCGCGUGAGUGAAAGAAGGUUUUCGGAUCGUAAAGCUCUGUCUUUUGGGACGAAUGUGCUUCUUGUGAAUAAUGAGAGGUAAUGACGGUACCGAAGAAGGAAGCCACGGCUAACUACGUGCCAGCCGCCGC